rnacentral:rRNA from 1 species
AUUGAACGCUGGCGGCAGGCUUAACACAUGCAAGUCGAGCGAGCGGCGGACGGGUGAGUAAUGUCUGGGAAACUGCCUGAUGGAGGGGGAUAACUACUGGAAACGGUAGCUAAUACCGCAUACCAUCAGAUGUGCCCAGAUGGGAUUAGCUGGUUGGUGGGGUAAUGGCUCACCUAGGCGACGAUCCCUAGCUGGUCUGAGAGGAUGACCAGCCAAACUGGAACUGGACCACGGUCCAGACUCCUCCGGGAGGCAGAAGUGGGGAAUAUUGCCCAAUGGGCGAAAGCCGGAUGCAGCCAUGCCGCGUGUGUGUAGAAGGCCUUCGGGUUGUAAAGUACUUUCAGCGGGGAGGCGUUACUCGCAGAAGAAGCACCGGCUAACUCCGUGCCAGCCGCCGCGGUAAUAC